AAUGACAUUAGAUUUGCACAGUUAAUUCAAUUUAAAAAAUUAGGUGUCAAAUGAAAAGGCUUGGUCUUCAGAUUAACUAGCAGUAAGCUUUUAUUUUUCGAAGGGGGCUGCAACCUGUGCGAAAAAUUAAAAAAUGUGGGCUGUUCGUUAGAUUACAAGAAAUAAGGUGUCAAAUGAAAGGGCUUGGCAUUCAGAUUCGAAAUUAUAUGUUAUGUGUUUUUGCAGGGUUGCAACCUGUUUAGUUGUCAAUCACACCUUAUUUAAUAUCUACACAUUCAGCGCGUGGCAAAGCCUCGCGCAUACGAGGCCGGCUAGUAUGUGUAUAAGUGCAUGUCUAUAUGCUAGUUGCAGUCGCAAUUAGUACGCGUGGAAUUAAAGUAGAAUGCAUUCGAUUAACCAAUCUAGGCUGCGUGUACUUAACCUAUGUAUGUGUACUACAGACAUUUAUGUAUUUUGAAGGUAUACAUACAUAUGUAUAUCACGAUUCGAUACAAAAUAUUUAUUUAAUAUUAUCACAGCAAAGUGUCACAUGCCUUUCGUUACACUUAUGUAUGCCGAUACUCUACGCGCCAACUAGUUGAAAAAUUCAAUAUUCGAGCUGAAGCAUUUGAUUUAGCAUUGCGCUGUGGCAACAUUAGCACCCUAAAUUUAUUUGUCGAAACAAUUAUGGACAAUCACGUAUCUGAUUAGCAAGCAAUAACGAGGUAGGAGAUAAAUUUUACUUCUCUACUCUACUUUAUCACGUACUUAUGAUUAUACACAUGUGUGUACAUUUAGCCUUACGUGGUAAAUAUUCUGUGUUAAAAAAAAAAAAAUUUCAAAUAAUUUUAUACCGCCCAUACCGUCGCCUAUUGCGAAGGAUGUUUUGCGUCGUUGAAAAUAUGUAUACUUUGUUGUUUCGUGGCCCGAUGCAAAGGAGUUACUUUCAAAAAAUCCUGCCGUUUUAUAGAAAAAAAAUUUAAAAACAAAAAAGAUCUUUUCAGUAAAUGAGAUUUGAAGAGAUGUGUUCAGCGUAAGCUUACCUCACGAAUGAACAAUGAGUUGAGCUAAAAUAUAUUGGUGGACGUCCUUCAGCUAAUCAAACUUUAUAAUUUUCUUGAGGAAAGAGCACAAAGUGUAGACUUUGUAUGGAGCCUAAGGCGGUCUAAUGUGCACACAUGUGUACUAUUUCUAUGUUCCUCUUCAGCGAUUUUUAUAAUUACCUUGCCAUUGAAGAGUAGCCGCAAUUAAAUUAGCUAGCAAUUAAAAUAGUCGGCAUUGAUCGUUGUUAUAGCUAAGCAAAUGAACUGGAUGUUUUGCAAUAUUUCUGACGAUACAAAUUUCUAAAACGAAAUAGAUUAAUAAUAACAUAGACCAACAAAAGUGGGGAAAAAAAUUUGUAGCGUCAAAUGUUGAAGCUAUUUUUGAUACACUUUUGUAUGCUGAUUACGAAUCCGUAAGUAUAACGUUUUCAUCAGCUCGAGAUUUUAAAUAAAACAAAGGGUCAAAGAGACAAAAUGUGCUUAGAUUCAAGGCAGAACUCUGGACUGAAAAUAUCAUCCCUGCACCUUGGCCAGAUAGUCACUUAUAAGUCAUUUAUUGAACAGCAAAAAUUGAUUUUGGUGAUAGAACCUUCCAUUUGAGCUUAAUUUAAGGCUUGAACUUUCGAUUACCAUCCCUGAAAAUAUCGUUCCUGCUCCUUGACCCUAAGGUUGCUUAUAGUCAUUUAUUUAACAGCCAAAACGGCACAAUAUUCCAAUAUUUUUUUUUUAUUGUUCAAUCCAGGUGCAGGGAUGUCCGAACAAAGAUGAGAAGCCUUUGGGGGCUUUUUUCCGCUUUUCCGCUUGAGAAAGUUUGGAAAUUGUGGGCAAGCCAAGAGGUCUCCGCACAGCCAGGAAGCAUGUGAACCAUCGCCGUGAUCAACGUUGGGAUGAUAA